CCCUUAGAUGUUCUGGGCCGCACGCGCGCUACACUGAUGCAUUCAACGAGUCUAAAACCUGCUCUGAUAGGGGUGGGUAAUCUUUUGAAUGUGCAUCGUGAUUGGGAUAGAUGAUUGCAAUUUUUCAUCUUCAACGAGGAAUGCCUAGUAAACGCAAGUCAUCAGCUUGCAUUGAUUACGUCCCUGCCCUUUGUACACACCGCCCGUCGCUCCUACCGAUUGAAUGAUCCGAUGAAUAUCAUGGAUUGAGGAUGCAAGCAGGUUCGCCUGUCUUCAUCUUCGAGAAGUGAAGUAAAUCUGAUCAUUUAGAGGAAGGAGAAGUCGUAACA
rnacentral:rRNA from 1 species